UCCACUGGAUUCAGGAAGCCGAAUCUGAGUGUUUUCACCAUGACUCUGGCUCCACUACUCCUUGUCUUCCUUUAUUACUUAGCAGGGUCAUGUGGUCAGUUUGUACUGACUCAGCCAAACUCUGUGUCAGGGUCUCUAGGAAGCAAAGUCACCAUCUCUUGCCAGCGCAGCAGUGGAAACAUUGGAAGCAGCUAUGUGCACUGGUACCAGCAGCACUUGGGAAGAUCCCCCACCAAUGUAAUCUAUGAUAAUAACAACAGACCAUCCGAGAUUCCUGAUCGAUUCUCUGGCUCCAUUGACAGCUCCUCCAACUCAGCCUCUCUGACCAUCAGUAACGUGCAGGCUGAGGAUGAGGCUGACUACUACUGUCAAUCUUAUGAUAGUAGCUAUAUUCACAGUGAUGCAAACCAUAGAGGAAGUGAGACAAAAACUCCCCAAAGCAACAGCUGUGAAAUCAUUUGUUAA